rfam:Oryza rufipogon genomic scaffold, chr03
AAUAAUUACAGUUUUGUACUAUUUACGUUCAAUGUUUGACCGUUUAUUUUAUUUAUUUUUUUUAUUAAUAUUUUUAUUGCUAUUAGAUAAUAAAACAUGAAUAAUAAUUUAUGUGUGACUAAAUAUUUUUAUUUUUUUAUAAAAUUUUUAAAUAUGACGGACGUUCAAACGUUGAGCACGGAUAUCCACGGCUGCACUUAUU